rfam:TPA: Bos taurus chromosome 17, whole genome shotgun sequence.
UCCCUAGUGGUCCCAUGGUUAAGACUCUGCACUUCCAAUUCAGAGGCUGCAGGUUCAGUUCCUGGUCAGGGAA